rnacentral:rRNA from 1 species
CAGGGAAUCUUGCACAAUGGGCGAAAGCCUGAUGCAGCGACGCCGCGUGGGGGAUGAAGGCCCUAGGGUCGUAAACCCCUUUCAGCAGGGACGAAAAUGACGGUACCUGCAGAAGAAGCCCCGGCCAACUACGUGCCAGCAGCCGCGGUAAGACGUAGGGGGCGAGCGUUGUCCGGAUUUAUUGGGCGUAAAGAGCUCGUAGGCGGUUGCGUAAGUCGGAUGUGAAAACUCAGGGCUCAACCCUGAGACGCCAUCCGAUACUGCGCUGACUUGAAUCCAGUAGGGGAGUGCGGAAUUCCUGGUGUAGCGGUGAAAUGCGCAGAUAUCAGGAGGAACACCCAUGGCGAAGGCAGCACUCUGGGCUGGUAUUGACGCUGAGGAGCGAAAGCAUGGGUAGCGAACAGGAUUAGAUACCCACGUAGUCCCUGAGCGGGCUGGCAAGGCGCAU